ensembl:lncRNA uncharacterized LOC114443897
GAGUUUGUGUGCUCACUCUUCUUAAAAAAAAAAUAUCCUUGACCAGUUUCCUGUAACCAUGGCAAUAGGAAGUGCUCUCCUCUCCAAUCACAUUUUUGCAUUGUGUGUUGGGGAAGUGCACUGUUUCCUGCUGUUUCCACUGGCUUCCCCUUCAUUUGGUGUGAGUACUGGAGGACUCUGCGUUCAGUCCUGAAAAGCCAAACAGUUUCUUUUUUUCACAGUUCAUCUUCUUUUUUUCUAAUGAAUUCACCUACAGCGCUGUCACGUUUGAAUAACAAUCUUCACAACACUUUAACAGCUGCCACCUGAAGACUCCUCCUCACACUUCUGGGAAAUGAUGGAGAACUAAUUUGCAGCAAGCAAAACUCCAUCACCCCCCCCCUCCCCCGUCUGCAUCCAACCCAGCAGGGAUGCAGCUUCGAGUCACCAGAAGCACCUCUCACCAGAUCCCUCCCCAGCCUGCUACACUGAGGAGGCGACACCAGAUCCUAUUAGACGCCAUCCAGCCAGUCCUGGUGGGCGCCAUCAUCAAUCCAAAGCGGGGGAUGGAGGAGCCCCCCCAGCUGCAGACUCCGCAGCCCCCCAGAAGUUGCAACUCACCUGCUGGGAAAUCGUGCUGGAGCCUGGAUGUGAGGGUAGCAGUGAUACUGGUGACUCUGGCAGGUGCUGUAAUCCUGCUGCUGCUGUACUGGCUCUUACAGCUGAGGCACAGGCUGAGGAUGGCCAGGGCGAGGCAUGCUUUGGAGUACUUCAGCUUCUACCACACCGCCACCUACUCAUUCAAACAUCCCACGCCAUGUCAGGACAUGCCAACUAAAAACGGAGCCAUCCCAGAAGCCAGUCCACCGCUCCAAACCAUAACCACGGUGACUUCCAUCACCCCAGCGCCACCCAUGCUGGUGCCACCUCCAUCACCGCUUCCGCCUCCCCUACCACCUCCACCGUCUCUCUCUCCGACUCCCGCCGUCCUGUCCCUGCCUCUCCCCCUGCCUGUGAUCCACACCACCCCGCCCAGCCCUCACCUGUCAUGGGGCGCCUGCUCGGACGCUGAUGUUUACUCUCGGAUUGGAGCUUUCAGGCCUUCCCGGCUCUCCAGCCUCUCCAGCCAAUCAACAGUCAUCCUGUUUGAGCACUCAUCUCUCUGAGCUCUCACAUUAGAUAUGACUGUGAUGGCUAAAUCCAUGUUCUUCUGGCAGACCAAGUACUGAAUAUAUAUAUUUAGAUACAUUUUUCUGUUGACUCUAAUGAAGUUUGAAAUACAUCCUCCACUGAAAAUUGCAUUUUGGAUCAAAACAACUUAUCUAUAAUUAUGUUUUGACUCGCUGGCUGUGUCUGGAUGUGACUUCUGAAAUUAGGCUGAUGGAAAAUUCAAAAAAUCUUCAUCUCUGUGAUGUUUUGGAGGUAAAUGAAAAAGAAAAAAAAUUCUUAGACUGUUGAUCUGAUCUGGUCAAACUCCAUCAGGAUGUCCAAGGAUCAAGGGUGAUCAAGGGUGAACAGCACUUUCCAUAUCCAGCCACAAAUUCUCUGUUGGAUUGACGUCUGUGCUUUGACUUGGCCACUUCAGAACAUUUACUUUGUUUUCUUUAAACCAUUUCUGUGUAGCUUCAGCUCUGUGUCUUUAGCUAAAAAAUAUAAAAGCUUGGCUGAAUAAGAUUGUCCCUUUGUUUUUUAAGGCCUGCUGCUGAAAAUCAUUCUUGCAGCAUGAUGCAACCACCAGAGUAUGAUGACCGAAGAACCUUCUUCCAGUUGUUCUUGGAGUCCACCAUAACCUUUUCUCUGAGUUGCUGUUUUGCCUUCAUAGUGUAAUUAUAGCCAGGAAUACUAAAUAACCAUUGACUGGAUCUUCCAGACACACACAGCUGUCUUUAUGCUUCAACCACUGAGACACAUACACUGCACUCAGAUGCUCUGCAUAUGACGUAUUGUAGGUCUAAUAACAUCAGGUAAGUCACUUUAAAGGGCGUUUCUUUCUCGGGGUGAUUAAGAUUGGACAAAAUAUGCAUAUAUGUGUUGUAAAAGGACUAAUAUUAUAUCAUAUAUUGCUCUGUGUUAUAGACCAGGGUCUGUGCCAUCAUGUGAACACACUCAUGGCUAUACUACGUGGACCUAAACCCACCAUCUUCUGUGUUUUCAUUGCCUGAUUCU